AACGAACGCUGGCCGCAUGCCUAACACAUGCAAGUCGAACGAGAUCUUCGGGUCUAGUGGCGCACGGGUGCGUAACGCGUGGGAAUCUGCCCUUUGGUUCGGAAUAACAGGUGGAAACGACUGCUAAUACCGGAUGAUGACGAAAGUCCAAAGACUUAUCGCCAGAGGAUGAGCCCGCGUAGGAUUAGCUAGUUGGUGUGGUAAAGGCGCACCAAGGCGACGAUCCUUAGCUGGUCUGAGAGGAUGAUCAGCCACACUGGGACUGAGACACGGCCCAGAGACCUACGGGAGGCAGCAGUGGGGAAUAUUGGGCAAUGGGCGAAAGCCUGAUCCAGCAAUGCCGCGUGAGUGAUGAAGGCCUUAGGGUUGUAAAGCUCUUUUACCCGGGAUGAUAAUGACAGUACCGGGAGAAUAAGCUCCGGCUAACUCCGUGCCAGCCGCCGCAGUAA
rnacentral:rRNA from 1 species